rnacentral:rRNA from 1 species
CCUACGGGAGGCAGCAGUGAGGAAUAUUGGUCAAUGGCCGGAAGGCUGAACCAGCCAUGCCGCGUGAAGGUCAGUGCCCUAUGGGCGUUAAACUUCUUUUGUGUGGGAGCAAUAAUGGUCACGUGUGGCCAGACGAGAGUACCGUACGAAUAAGCAUCGGCUAACUCCGUGCAAGCAGCCGCGGUAAUACGGGGGAUGCAAGCGUUAUCCGGAUUUAUUGGGUUUAAAGGGUGCGUAGGGUGUGAGGUAAGUCAGCGGUGAAAUGCCCGCGCUCAACGGGGUGAAGUGCCAUUGAUACUGCAUUGCUGGAAUGCGGAUGCGGUGGGAGGAAUGUGUGGUGUAGCGGUGAAAUGCAUAGAGAGCACACAGAACACCGAUUGCGAAGGCAUCUCACGAAUCCGCGAUUGACGCUGAUGCACGAAAGCGUGGGUAUCAAACAGGAUUAGAUACCCUAGUAGUC